rnacentral:lncRNA from 1 species
UGAAAACGUCAUUGAACCGAUGAAAAAAUGAAGUAUUCCCGCUUUUUAACAAAAAAUUGACGGAUCCAACAGUUAUGUCCCUGGAUGAACCUUCUCUCUUCUACGUUCAACUCUUCAUGCACGCGUCUGUGAUCUGAAUUGUCCUAGGAAACCCAUUAACCAGCGAAUCGAAGCUGCUUGUUUCGCUAUCACAGUUGAAAUUCAACGUCAUCAUUUUUUUGGUCGUGUCAUGCCCCAGCCCAGGACAUUAAAAUAAGUUCGCUCGCACUGCAAUCCUGAGAGUUAGAAUUUCGUCCCCAGUGCUAACACGAGAGAGAAAAUACAAAUCAACAUGAGUGCCGCCCCAAGUUUCUGUUGCUUCAAAUUUAAAUUCGUGCUUCAGGCAGCGCUCCUAUCGGCACUGGCAGGAAGUACCUACGGCCAAGGGUACCGCUAUCCAUGGUGCGAAAUCUGGGGUUUCGACAAGAUCGCGAACAUCCAGUUUCAGGCUGGAGACAUUUUGAGAGUCAAGGGUUGGGGUACGUAUAUGUACGCAACAAGUCCCAAUUCGCUCAUCCUCCUGGAGACCAGUUUCACUUCAAUGUACAUUCACAUUCGCAAGGUGGAAUCCACCUCUAAGUUCUACCGAAACACCAUGGCUAAAAAGAUGACAAGGUACCAGCUUCAAACAACGUUUGCGCCUAAAGGAGUCGCGCUGGCCAACUAUUUGGCCAACAGGAGGUGGCCGUUUCGUGUGACACAUUGCAACGACGUCCAUUAUAUAAGGUAUAUCGCAUUUGGUACGACCCUUCAGGCAGAUUAUUGCCCACUAGGAAGAGAUUUGAACGACGUGGCAGUCGCCGCAAUAAAUAACCCGGACCCUGAAUUCGUACUUUGGGGAGGCCCAACACUUCUAUAUCAAUAUCGCCGAAGUGUAAUGCCGGAAGGCAAAAGCAAGUCUUAGAGGGCAGGGCGAGGCGUGGAUGACAGGGUUGCCACAGAAUCUAGAAAAUGGGAUUCCCUGAUUUCCUUGACACAUUUUGGUGAAAUUCCCUGACAAUUGAGGGUGUGACGGAUGGUUAAGAGAGCAUAAUUGAAAAUAGUUCUCGGGCAAAAUGUGUUGCUGGAAACCUCAAACCCAUUCUAAAAAGCAAAUGAGGGUGAUUGAACACAUUUCCCCUGACAUUUUCGUCAUUUUCACUGAAAUUUCCUGGUUUUCCCUGACUUUUUAAAAUUCCCUGACAUUUCCCGGUUUUCCCUGACUAUGGCAACCCUAGAAUGAUCGAUUAUCGAUUUUCCCCCAUUUGAAGCUAUGGUAUAGAAUAUAUUAUUAAAAUUUUCGUUGCGAACACCCUGUUUACUACUAUUAAGUCGCUCUUAUAGCGCUUCUGUGCGCUCUGCGACACCCAACCGCCACUGACAGCGAUCUUUCAAGAGCUCUUCCGGCAGAUCGCAUCCCCUCAUUUCCUGCCUUAAUUCCUCAAUCCACGAUUUGGCAGGCGUCCUCUACGUUUUCUGCCAGAGGGGACCCAAUUCUGAACCUUCUCAGGCAACCUAUCACCCGAACACCCUGCGAACACCCUGUUUAUCAAUCAUUUUCCAUAGCUUUCAAUAGCAGAUCAAUCGAUUCCUCGCAAGGCACGCCGCGCCACACCACGCCACUGACAGGGCUGUGUGAGGACGUCAAGGCGUGUGCGGCGCCCACACUGUUGAAAAUCCCGGCGCGAAAUUCACGCUUACUCAUUUGCUGUUUUGACCACCUGUUUACUCUGAGUGCAUGGAUCCGGCGCGAAAUAAGCUCGGCGCGAAUUUCGCGCUCUGGCGGGAGUGAAAAUCUGACAGGCAAAUGAAAAAACGAAACUGGCGCAGCAUGGAUUUGAACACGAGUCGCGGCGGUGAUAGACGAGUGCGCUACCACUUCGCCAUUCGGCGCUCGUGCCUGGAGGCCCUGAAUUCACACUACUUGAGGUACCUCAACUAAUUCGUCCGUCGUUGGUGAUAUUUACGCUCUGAUCUAUUCACUCGGGGUAAGGCGCGAAAUUCGCGCUGGAUUUUUUUUUCAAGCCGGCUAUUCAUGCGGAGUUAAUCAUUGAUUUUUAACAGUACAGCGGAAUGAGCUAAUAGCAGAGGUUGGACAAACUUUGGAAAAUGUAAACGCUUACGACUCUGUUUAUCCCAAAUUUUUGAGGUUUUAAAAGUAGUUCCAUUGGCUCCCUUGUGAAAUUUUCGUCUGGAAUCACUCUUUAAAAGUUUAGCAGGAGGCUGCGAAGGGUAAAGCCCUUCGACUUGGCCACAGGGGUGUUGCAUUAAAGCAGUAACCAUGGUCUUCCUAAUUUAAACAAAAAUCACUAUUGUGUGUGUCGUGCCACUUUACACUUGGAGUCCAUGAUAACGAUGGCCCCAGCUGUAAACAGUUAGACAAUUGUUCAUUAUGGAAUCUGAGUCCAUAUUCUUGUAAAUUUUUUUUUUUUAUUUUUUUGCAGUAUGUAUGUGUGUGUGAAUGAAGGAGUUGUAAAGAAUUGUUUCAAGAAGCGAAGGUAAAGGUUUGAAUGUUACUUAUUAAGUUAAAAACAAACCCUUAUAACAUUAGUUUUAAGUUUAGCUUUAAGAACAAAUUAACUACAAUGUAAUUAAUGCCCCGUAAGGGGCAGUCGUACAAUUUUUUCUGAAUAAAAAAAAAAAAAAAAAAUUGACUCCCUUGUGAAAUUUUCGUCUGGAAUCACUCUUUAAAAGUUUAAAUGCGACGAAAUAGACAUAAAAAUUUGCAGCUUUUGUCAAAAAUUUUAUGACCGACCUCUCUACUUGAUUCGAUCCACUGUGCGACGGUGAAUGAGUUGGGUCAGUCAGGGUCUCUAACGGGUCGCCAUUGUUGAGGAACGAAAGUUUAACGAGAUCAUACACGGCUAUUUGUAGAAAUAAAAAAUGAUUUGAAAAUUAACUUUCGCAGACUUUUUUGUUUGCCCUUGAACUUUCAGAGGAAAAAUAGUAAGGAGAAUUGAGUACAACUCGUCACUUCUCGCACAUUGGAGGGUAACACCAUCCCAAGGUUGCCAAACUGACUCAAACAAUUAAAUUUUUUUUGCGAGAAAAACCUAGACAUAAUUUUCGUCGAAAAUUUGUCUGAUUUGUGUAUGAGACCAGAAGAAAUAAUAGUGAAAUUUUCACCUGAAAUGGUAAUGUUGCAUGUGUGAGGAAUUUGCGAUUUGACUGUUGAUUCUUAUAAAAGAUGGCAAGAAACACGAUGGUGGGGGAGGAGGACGGAGAGGAGGAGUGAGAGGAGGAGGGAGAGGAGGAGGGGGAGGAGGAGGGAGAGGAGGGGGGGAGGAGAGAGGGAGAGGCGGAGGGAGAGGCGGGAGAUAGAGGUGGAGGAUUGUCUUCUUUUGCGGGUUUUUUUGGUUCUUGGGGUUUCGGUGGUCUUUUGUUGGCUCUUUUUGUUUUUCGCAUCAAAUUGAAAUGCUACGAGGACUAGAAACGAAAAUCCGAGGCAAUUUGGCUACAACCAAAAGGCUCAUACAGCGAUCUUCCUCAGCACGGGAGCGAUCUUUACGCUAAAUAAUCUUUCCCUCCCUCCUUCCCCCACCCAUUGAUCCCCAUUACCCGCACCCCCGGUUGACUCAUGACACGGAGCCAUGGAGGGGGAGAGCGGUAUCGCGUGAAGCUGAUAAAAUUUUCAUCAGCAUAAAAUAUUUAAAAUUAGUCCUCGAAAUGAGAUACAUGACCGCGCUAACGUUCUCGAAAUCGUCGCAGUCACCCCGCUUCAUCCCCUCGGAGCCCGUGCAUUCCGCGGUGAGUUGCCGAACCGGGCGAUAAGAUUCGCAGUUAAGAUCUCGUUCCGCGGGGAAAACUUCUGAUUUUUAGCCAAACUUGACAACGGCUUUUCGCUAGGAUGCCAGCGCGUGUUGUAUUAUAAGAAUGGACCGCCGUUGGAGAAGGUGCGGAUUUCAGCAUUCUGAGAUACCGACGCUGAAACUUCUGAAACCACGUUUCUCGGCUCGCGACAUUGAGGACUUUCUGUUAUGCUUUAUUUUUUAAAUGAAGAGCCAUACUUAAUGUCAAUAAGAAGACAAAGUACAGAGUGCCACUAGACCAAGUACGAAUUUAAGCAUUCUGUUACAUGUUCGUAAUCAGAAUUUCACGUAGAACAUGAUGUUCUCAUCGAAAAUUACUAAAAUUAACUCCUAACUAAGAUAUUAAAGUUUUUAUUGUACAUUGGUUACAGGAAAUUUGAGUUGCCCGGUCACAAGAAACUCAAUACUCUACGUGAGUCAAAUUGCGCCUUACAACGGUUUCAGCAGGCCUCUCAAUCGGGCACUGUCCCUUUCCCAACCUUUAUCGUUCAAAGUGUAAACAAUUUGCUCCAGCUGAGCCGAAGCGUAAUGAUUGAGGCUACUAUAUUUUCGUAUUGCAGAGACUGCCACGGUAACGUUUGGUGUGCGAUUUGACUCACGCAGACCAUUGAGUUUUCAUGAGAGGGAGGUUUGAAUUCACGCGUCCAGAAACAUUAAAUAUCUUGGUUAGGAGUCAAUUUCAGUAAUUCUCGUUGCGCGCAUCGUGUUCUACUUGAAAUUUUGGUUGAGAGACUUGCAUCAGAAUGCUUAAUUUGUACCUUGUCUGGUGGUCCAUUCUGAAAAAUGUCCGUUAGUUCACUU